rnacentral:lncRNA from 1 species
GCAAAUCAAAAAUCAAAUCUUUUUUAAUAAUUUUAGAAAGUAUGUGCAUACUAAUAUGUGCAAGCCUACGGUGCCAAAAUCAACUAGUCUCAUUAAUUUUAGUAUUCAUGGCCAUAAGACAUUGCAUGUUUUGUAAGGAGAGAUUAUCCAAAUCAACCAUGUACACAUUUUCAUUCCUAUAUCCAAUAAAUCUAGUGUUAAUAUCAGAGGGA